UGCGGGAUAGCUCAGCUGGUUAGAGCGCCGGACUCAUAAUCCGGAAGUCGCGGGUUCAAAUCCCGUUCCCGCCU
rnacentral:tRNA from 1 species